UUGAUGGAUUAUGGCAGCCUCUGCUUCUAAUGUACACUUAAUGCUCCUUCACAUUGGAGAUUACUGAUGGUUCAGUGGUUGUCACUGCACCAUUCACAGGAAGCUGUUGGCUAAUGAUGGACACUGAAAUGCGACUCCCUUUGUGACCAGGAGGUCACUCUUUCCUGUCCUCUGACACGGCCAACGAUAGCCCCAACCAUGCCUGCUGACCCAGACAUGCAACAGAUGUUUGACCCUUUCCCUUUUGGAAGAACCUGGUGGUAUCCUCCAUAUUAUCCUGGUGUACCUGCUACCCUGCCUCCCACUGUGCCAGCUAUAGCUCCACCUUUUCAAUAUCCUUUCCAGCAACACAUGUUCCCUCAGAUAUAUCCCAGGCCAGUGUUUGAUCCAUACUUUUACUCUAGAGGUGACCCAGCUGCUCCCCCAGCACCACAACAACCUCCACAUCCCUGAUACCCAAACUUCCCUCCUUUAUAUGAAUGGCUUCCAAAGCCAAAUUGAAGUGACCAUUCCUGCAACGAUCACAACUACACCUGCCCCAUACCAGUCUGAGCAGCAUC